AGCAUGUAGGUGUAUACCAGUAUGCAGCUACCCUAUGUACAUGUGCAUCUUAUCUUUAUUUAUGGGUGCGGCUGAAUGUGACGGAUUUGCGGCCUGCCUUGUAACACCAACCAGCGCCACCAAAACAAGACAGAUAAACAAACAAACAAACAAACGAACGAACGGAAGACACAGGCUGGGCGAUGCGUAAUGAGAGACAUGCGGGAGCGCGCGCGCGCGCGCACGAUCGAGCGGCUGGUCUAAUUCGUGAGAUCGUGACGCGUUAAUAAAAACAAAAUGGUGGAGCCGCUGCUGUAGGGGCAAACUAAACAGCCUGCACAGCCGGGCGAAAUUAGAAAGAGGUGCAAUUUAUUGCGGCCUCGUCAUAUGUGCAUCAGUGCGAGCGAUGCACGCACGCACGCGCGCGCGCGCGCAUCCCGACUUAUGCACAGACGAGCGGAAACCGGGCCUUUAGAUCAUCAUGGUCAUCCUUCCUUCCAUCCAUCCAUCCAUGCACACGCUAUCGCUAUACACACAUCCUUAAUAAAUUACACCGGGAUAAAUGCACCGCGCGUUAUUGAUGUUACCUCUCAUACAGGCACGAGGGGGUGGGGGUAUCGGGGGAGGGGGACACGGCAAGCACGCGCACCAACACCGACUCCGACACAGGUCCCUCCCUUCUUCUUCUUCUUCUUCUUCUUCUUCUUCAGUACCGGGCUCCACUAUAAACCCUCUCCUUUUAUUCCACGGCGUAAUGCGUUGUUUUUUCUCUUUUAAAGAAAUCCACCGACUGGUCACGAGCAAAACGGAAGCAAGGAAGACACCCGUGAUGUCGCCAUCGUCGCUCGCGCUCAGCAGCGGAUGAACCGAAUGACCCUGAACGGGAACGGAGAGCUACGCAGACGAGACACCAGUGGUAGAGAUGAUGGAGAUGAGGCGGGAGGAAGUAUCAGUUGUGGCAGAGGACAGACACGCAGAGAGUCCGAUUUCUCGUCUCGGGUAACCGGAGCGGGUCUAAACCGCUGGUCUGUUCUAUCUUACUGAUGACCACAAAGGCACAAUAGAGGCAAGAGGCACUACUAAAACAAUCCAGAGUGGUUCUGAAUCUUCUACAGGAUGGCAGGAUCAGGAGUGGCACUGCGACUUCAUGAGUUUAAGGAAAGAAAUGUGAUCGGUCAGCAACAUGGAUCGAUGAACCUGAUGAGCGUAAAGUGUCCACCAGAGGAAGAGCAAACAUACCAGCGGAGCUUCGACCUUAUCACGCUACAGGCCCUGGAGAUGAGAGCAACACACACACCUCAUAAUACACACCGGACAUCUCACACUGUGUACCAGCAGCAGUUCGGACGCCAGGCUCACCUUUACC
ensembl:lncRNA